rnacentral:rRNA from 1 species
AGUGAACGCUGGCGGCAGGCCUAACACAUGCAAGUCGAACGGUAACACGAUGCGGCUUUCUGCUUCGCGGACGCGUGGCGGGCGGGUGAGAGGUGUCUAGCGAACUCUCCGUUUUAGGGGGAUAUCAAGUAGAAACGGUUACUAAUAUCGCGUAACGUCGCAAGACCUGAGAGGGGGGGCUCAGGGCCUCUUGCGAGCGUGUAUGCGCAGGUGGGAUUAGCUAGUGUGGGGGGUAACGGCGCACCCAGGCGACGAGCUCUAGCUGGUCUGAGAGGAUGAGCAGCCACACUGGAACUGAGACACGGUCCAGACUCCUACGGGAGGCAGCAGUGGGGAAUAUUGCACAAUGGGCGCAAGCCUGAUGCAGCCAUGCCGCGUGGUUGAAGAAGGCCUUCGGGUUGUAAAGUACUUUCGUCGGGGAGGAAAAGGGUAAAGUUAAUACCUAGGCGUAUUGACGGUACCCGGAGAAGAAGCACCGGCUAACUUCGUG